CUCUCAAUGCCUAAUUCAGCUUGCUUUCCUCUCUCUUCACUGCAGGCUAUUACUGUGACAGCCAGCAAGGCCCAGUCAUUGAUUUUACCCUUUACCCAUGCCCGCAAGGUUUUUACUGCCCACCAGGGACCCGCCAGAGCACUCAGCACCGCUGCCCUGCAGGAACCUUUGGGCCCAGGCAGAAACUGAAAACUAUCAAGGAAUGUCAAAGAUGCCCGCCGGGAAAAUACUGUGAAUUCUCUGGACUUGCUGCCCCAACAGGAGACUGUGCUGAGGGAUUCUGGUGCAAAAGUGGUGCCCAAGUAAGAARCCCCCGAGACAGAGAAUCAGGACUGCCUUGUCCYCCUGGUCAUUACUGUCCUGMAGGUACAGUGCUUUGCUAAGCAUAAUUUUUCUUAAUUCAUGUGAAGCAUGAGAUGGGAUUUCCUCACUCCAGUGCAAUUGACAUUGCCAGGUGCACCACUUCCAUUACAGUGCCCUCCUGGCACUUGGUCUGACAGUGAAGGUGGUAGGAAUUUGCAGGAGUGCCAGCCUUGCCCUGGGGGAUAUUACUGUAACAGCUCUGGACUGAGGGCCCCCUCAGGACGCUGCAGCCCAGGGUAUUACUGCGUCACUAGGGCCCAGACCCCAACACCUACUGAUGGCCUCUCGGGAGCUCCAUGUCCCAUUAGACACUUUUGCCCGCUUGGAUCCAGGAGUCCAGCUCCGUGCCCCGCUGGCUCCUACAUGCCACAGGCCCGUGGAGAGGAGUGCCUUGCUUGCCCAGAGGGUGAAUACUGUGUCCCUGGUGAGAAGCCACAGCCAUGUCCCCAAGGUUUCUACUGCCCCAGAGGAACAGGUUUAGACUGGCAGCCCUGCCCACCAGGUACUUACAGCCCUGAGCAAGGACAGGGAAGCAGAACCAGCUGCAGAGCUUGCGAUGGAGGGAAGUUCUGCCAGUAUCACAACGCAACUGCUGUGACUGGAGAGUGCUGGGAAGGUUACUAUUGUGCUCAAGGAUCUUACAAGCCUAACCCAGAUGCCAUGAUACAAGGCCAAGCUGGUCCCUGUCCUGCGGGCCAUUACUGUCCCCGAGGCACUUCUGUCCCCACACCAUGUCCUGUGGGAACUUUCAGCACAAGGAGCAGGUUGAGCUCAGAGACCCAGUGUUCCCCAUGUCUGCCCGGGCAUUACUGUGAUGCUGCUGGCCUUCCAGCCCCUACAGGACAGUGUGAAGAAGGAUUCUACUGCACACUGGGAUCCAUUCUUCCCMAA
rnacentral:lncRNA from 1 species